AACCCAUGGUGAGGGCACCUUCUCAAUAAGUCCUUAUAUCUCUCCUAUGCAUCAUAGAUGGUCUUCAAAUCCAUUUGUAACAAGAAAGAGAUAUCAUUACUCAGCUU
rfam:Gossypium hirsutum cultivar TM-1 chromosome 14, whole genome shotgun sequence